rnacentral:rRNA from 1 species
AUGAACGCUGGCGGCGUGCUUAACACAUGCAAGUCGAACGGAGAUGUUAAAAGAGAGGAAUUUAGCUUGCUAAUAACAAUCUAUUAAGAUCUUAGUGGCGGACGGGUGAGUAACGCGUGGGUAACCUGCCAUAUACAGGGGGAUAACACUUAGAAAUAGGUGCUAAUACCGCAUAAGCGCACAGCUUCGCAUGAAGCAGUGUGAAAAACUCCGGUGGUAUAUGAUGGACCCGCGUCUGAUUAGCUGGUUGGUGAGGUAACGGCCCACCAAGGCGACGAUCAGUAGCCGGCCUGAGAGGGUGAACGGCCACAUUGGGACUGAGACACGGCCCAAACUCCUACGGGAGGCAGCAGUGGGGAAUAUUGCACAAUGGGCGAAAGCCUGAUGCAGCGACGCCGCGUGAGCGAAGAAGUAUUUCGGUAUGUAAAGCUCUAUCAGCAGGGAAGAAAAAUGACGGUACCUGACUAAGAAGCACCGGCUAAAUACGUG